ensembl:lncRNA
CCUCAUUCUUUCUCUUUUGUAAAAGGCUCAUGAUUGCUUACACCUUUGAAGUUUUCCACCUUCCAGCAGAAGAGAUGGAAUCAAUUGUGGUAAUAUCUAAAAAAGAAAAAGAAAAAUCAUCCAAGACAUGUUCCAUAAUUCAUAACCUCUUACUAGAAAGAAAUUAGUAUUUCUGAAAAAAAUACUUAAGGAAUUCUCUGAUUAAGACUUGCUCUGACAAGCUAGUUACCCACCCACCUCCACCUGCCCAUUCACUGUCUGCUGGCAGUCAAGAGGCUAGUGACGUUGAACCAGACUUUUUCUUUAAGCAUCUAGUCUAACAAUUAUUAUCAAAUCCAGUGCUUCUCAAACUUUUGGGUGCGAUAGAGUCAUCUGGGGAACUUGUUAAAAUGUGUAUUUCUGGUCCCCAUCCCAGGAUUUCUGAUUUAGUAGGAAUGGGAUCGGGUCUGAGAGUGUAUUUCUAGCAAGCUCCAGGUGAGGCUCAGGCUGCUGGCCCAGGGACCACACUUUGGAGACCACUGCUCUAAUAAUUUACUUUUCCCGUAAAAUGUCCCUAUUUAGAGCGAAUCUUUGAGUUGACCUGUUAGACACCUUUCCUCAGCAUAUGAGAUUAUAAUUAAAUGUUGACACAUGCUCAUGAUCAAAUUGACAAAAUUCUUUAACAUAAGUUGGUCUGGCCACAGCAUUUAAUAAGACACAGCCCAGUCUCUGUCUCUUGGUUGCUGAAAUUUCUGUCUCAUUGUCAUUAUGAUGGUUAAUUUUAUUUGUCUACUUGACUGGUCCAUGUGGUGCCCAGAUAUUUGAUUAAACGUUAUUCUGGGGUGUGUCUGUGAAGGUGUUUCUGGAGGAGAUUAACAGUUGAAUCAGCAGACCGAAUAGAGCAGAUUGCCCUUCCCAGUGUAGGUGGGGCUCAUCCGAUAUGUUGGAGGCCUGAAUAGAGCAAAAGUCUGAGUGAGGGAGAAUUUGUUCUCUCUCUCUGGCAGUCUUCAAGCUGGGACACGGGUCUUCUCCUGCCUUUGGACUCAGACUUAGACUGGAGAUUACACUAUUAGCUCUCCUGGGUCUCCAGCUUGCAGAUCUUGGAAUUUCUCAGCCUUCAUAACCGCUCCCAGGACAGCAACCUCAAGAUCCGUUCCCAGAUGUGGUCUACCCAAACAUAUUAGCCAGGUCCUACAGGUCUUGUGGUGAAUAUUUCUAGCCAUGCUGAGAUUCAACCUUGUUUAUAUUCAUUGUCUUAGAAGCCUUGAGGAAAGGUGGCAGCAAAUCCUAGGAGGGCAACUAUUAUGAAGAUUCAACCUCUAGAGUGACUUUAAGGAAAAUGGCAGAAUAGGAAGCUCCAGGAAUCCAUCUUUCCCCUUUUAUUGUAGCAAAUGAAUUCAUCCAUUGCUUCCUAGAAUACAACUAUCAAGCUGAUGAAUUUUUUUUUUUUUUUUACUGCUCUGCACAAAUUGCAAGGAUCACCAGAAGUAGUUUGCUAUUACCUAGCUGGCCCAAGAGCCCAUUUUCACAGUCUUGCCUCAGAGAUAUGUCUACUCUCCUGCUUUCUGCCG